rnacentral:lncRNA from 1 species
GGCAAAUAUUAAUAAUUUAAAUAAUCCUAAUUGAACUAAAAUAGGAACGGUUUGUUCUGAUUUCAUGUCAGACAGCGAGAAAACUUCUGGUUUCAACUGUACCUUGUUUUUGAUUGUGAACGAGUCAAAUAUCACGUGAUGUCACUGGAAUACUUUGAUCUUACUUUUACUGGGGCUUGUUUUCCUGUGGUUCCUUGUUUAUGUGGGAAAACCCUAGUUAACCACUUGGUGCCAUUUCGAAGGUAAACAGGAAGCCUGAUCUGGUCUUACAGCCCUUUCUGACGGGUGACAUAUUCCCUUUAUGUAGAACAGUCAUGUGUAAGACAGCCACAAUAAAGAUUCUUCUGAAAGUAACUGACCAAUAAGCAGGCUUGUGCUACCAUUGCAUGCGGUUACAUACAUCUCAACCUGGCUGCUGUAGACGUAUGCCCUGAUAUAUCCACUGAUAACAAAUUUUCCAAUGACGUGGACCAAUCAGAGCUCAACACGCAUACAUAUCCGCUUCAAAGACCCUCGCCAUCGACAGCAACCAAGCACCAGUCUUUGAGAUGGAGAGAUCAAGAGUCGUGCUCUUCGCGCUGAUGUGUUUUUCAUGGGUUUGGCUUUCCAGAAUCUCUGGAGAAGAAGUGGAGUUGAGAGUCAGAGCAGGAAGUGAUGUCACUAUCUUCAGCGACUGUGUUUCUAAAGAUAAAUUCAAUUUAGCUUGGUUUAGAAACUGCUCUCACCACCAUCAGCCUCGUCUAGUUCUAUUACCUAAAUAUAUGGUAGGGAAUUCUUUCCCUCGAUUCUCUCUAGAGUUAAAUUCUUCCAACCAAACUUAUGAUCUGCUGGUGAAGAACAUCUCUGAAUCAGACCUGGGUCUGUACUACUGCGCCACGUACAAGCAACAAAUUACCAAUAAAAAAACAGCAGGAAUCCGUUAUGAAGACGUCUUUCAUUAUGGAAACAGAACCACUCGACUCUUUCUGCUGGACACCUCAAAAAAUCGACUCAAUUCCACCUGUCCAGAAACAGACUGUAGCGUCUGCUGGAAGCUGCUGGUCAGUGUGUGUCCGGUGUGUGUUCUCCUCUCCUCACUGCUCUCCUCCACCUGUGUGUACUUCAUGUGCAAAUCUAGAAUCAAAGGUACGCUCUCACUUUCUAAAGCUAUAUGAUUUGAACAUGACCUGGACCCUCAAC